rnacentral:rRNA from 1 species
UACGGAGGGAGCUAGCGUUGUUCGGAAUUACUGGGCGUAAAGCGCGCGUAGGCGGCUUUGUAAGUUAGAGGUGAAAGCCCGGGGCUCAACCCCGGAACUGCCUUUAAAACUGCAUCGCUUGAAUCCGGGAGAGGUGAGUGGAAUUCCGAGUGUAGAGGUGAAAUUCGUAGAUAUUCGGAAGAACACCAGUGGCGAAGGCGGCUCACUGGACCGGCAUUGACGCUGAGGAGCGAAAGCCAGGGGAGCAAACGGG